CCCCUCUCAGGAUUGCACCUGGAGAGUUUCCAGUACUCUACUAAUCUUGGCUAUGGAAGGGAGGGUCAAGCAGAGGCCUACCCAUUCCAUUACUAGCUUGGGCAGUGGCUAGUGAGUGGAAGACAAUUUGCUACAAGU